rnacentral:rRNA from 1 species
AUUGAACGCUGGCGGCAGGCCUAACACAUGCAAGUCGAACGGAGUGGCGGACGGGUGAGUAAUGUCUGGGAAACUGCCUGAUGGAGGGGGAUAACGUCCGGAAACGGGCGCUAAUACCGCAUACUAUCAGAUGAGCCUAGGUCGGAUUAGCUAGUUGGUGGGGUAAAGGCCUACCAAGGCGACGAUCCGUUACUGGUCUGAGAGGGUGAUCAGUCACACUGGAGCUGAGGCACGGUCCAUACUCCUCCGGGAGGCAGCAGUGGGGAAUAUUGGGCAAUGGGCGAAAGCCUGAUCCAGCCAUGCCGCGUGUGUGAAGAAGGUCUUCGGAUUGUAGAGCACUUUAAGUUGGGAGGCGUUACCAACAGAAUAAGCACCGGCUAACUUCGUGCCAGCAGCCGCGGUAAUUC